GACGAACGUUGGCGGCGUGCUUAAUACAUGCAAGUCAACUGAAGCAGUGGUAGCAAUAUCGCUGUGGAGGUGGCGCACGGGUGAGUAACACGUAGGUAAUCUGCCUUCAGGUCUGGCAUAACCCGGGAAACCGGGGCUAAUAGCAGAUGAUGCAGCGGCUCGACAUCGAGACAGUUGUUAAAGCUAUGGCGCCUGAAGAUGAGCCUGCGUCUGAUUAGCUAGUUGGCGGGGUAACGGCCCACCAAGGCAACGAUCAGUAGCUGGUCUGAGAGGAUGAUCAGCCACACUGGAACUGAGACACGGUCCAGACUCCUACGGGAGGCAGCAGUAAGGAAUAUUGCUCAAUGGGAGAAAUCCUGAAGCAGCAACGCCGCGUGAGGGACGAAGGGCUUUUGCUUGUAAACCUCUGUAGUGAGAGAAAAAAAUCCCAAUCUUUGGGACAUGAUGGUAUCUCAAAAGUAAGCCCCGGCUAACUACGUG
rnacentral:rRNA from 1 species